UACGUAGGUGACAAGCGUUGUCCGGAUUUACUGGGCGUAAAGAGCGCGCAGGCGGUCGUCCAAGUCGCGUGUGAAAGCCCCCGGCUCAACUGGGGAGGGUCACGCGAUACUGAUCGACUCGAAGGCAGGAGAGGGUAGUGGAAUUCCCGGUGUAGUGGUGAAAUGCGUAGAUAUCGGGAGGAACACCAGUGGCGAAGGCGGCAUCCUGGACCAUUACUGACACUGAAAAGCGAAAGCCAGGGGAGCAAACGGG
rnacentral:rRNA from 1 species